CUCUGGAUUCGCGUGGAAUCCAGGGCGGAAAGAG
rnacentral:ncRNA from 1 species